rnacentral:snRNA from 1 species
AUCACUUCUCGGCCUUUUGGCUAUAUCAAGUGUAGUAUUUGUUCUUAUCAGUUCAAAAUAAGGGUCAAAGAAGACUUUACUGAGAAAAACAUUUUAAUAAGGUCUUAAAGAUGAAACUAAGUAAAACUAGCACAAGUUGUAGUCCUACAUAUAUCAGAUUCAUUAGCAGCAAUGUGGUGAACUAAUU